ACUCGGGAUUUCAUUUCAGUAGAGCCUCAGUACUCCUGUGGAGCAACGGCGGCUCUCGUGGUACUGUCAACGGAAACCCGCAGUCACCACGGCUCCGACGAUCGAGCACAAUGAUGGUCCAGA
rnacentral:ribozyme from 1 species